UACGGGGGGGGCAAGCGUUGUUCGGAAUUACUGGGCGUAAAGGGCGCGUAGGCGGCCUGUUAAGUCACACGUGAAAGCCCUCGGCUCAACCGGGGAACUGCGUGUGAUACUGGCGGGCUUGAGUUCGGGAGAGGGAUGUGGAAUUCCAGGUGUAGCGGUGAAAUGCGUAGAUAUUUGGAGGAACACCAGUGGCGAAGGCGGCAUCCUGGACCGAGAUUGACGCUGAGGCGCGAAAGCGAGGGGAGCAAACGGG
rnacentral:rRNA from 1 species